rnacentral:tRNA from 1 species
GGGGUUAUGGCUCAGUGGUAGAGCACUUGCCUAAAGCAUGUGAAGUUCUGGGUUCAAUCCUCAGUACCA